rnacentral:rRNA from 1 species
UUGACCUCGGAUCAGGUAGGGAUACCCGCUGAACUUAAGCAUAUCAAUAAGCGGAGGAAAAGAAACCAACAGGGAUUGCCUCAGUAACGGCGAGUGAAGCGGCAACAGCUCAAAUUUGAAAUCUGGCUCUUUCAGGGUCCGAGUUGUAAUUUGUAGAAGAUGCUUUGGGUGUAGCUCCGGUCUAAGUUCCUUGGAACAGGACGUCAUAGAGGGUGAGAAUCCCGUAUGUGACUGGGUGCUUUCGCUCGUGUAAAGCUCUUUCGACGAGUCGAGUUGUUUGGGAAUGCAGCUCAAAAUGGGUGGUAAAUUUCAUCUAAAGCUAAAUAUUGGCCAGAGACCGAUAGCGCACAAGUAGAGUGAUCGAAAGAUGAAAAGCACUUUGGAAAGAGAGUUAAACAGUACGUGAAAUUGUUGAAAGGGAAGCGCUUGCAACCAGACUUGCGCGCUGUUGAUCAUCCGAGCUUCUGCCCGGUGCACUCGACAGCGUUCAGGCCAGCAUCGGUUUUGGUGGGCGGAUAAAGGCCUUGGGAAUGUAGCUUCUUUCGGGGAGUGUUAUAGCCCUCGGUGCAAUGCGCCCUACCGGGACCGAGGACCGCGCUUCGGCUAGGAUGCUGG